UGGAAUACCCUAUCCACUGGCUGUGCAGC
rnacentral:piRNA from 1 species